rnacentral:rRNA from 1 species
AUUGAACGCUGGCGGCAGGCCUAACACAUGCAAGUCGAGCGAGCGGCGGACGGGCGAGUAAUGUCUGUGAAACUGCCUGAUGGAGGGGGAUAAAUACUGGAAAAGGUAGCUAAUACCGCAUACAACCUGAUGUGCCCACAUGGGGUUAGCUAGCAGGUGGGGUAAUGGCUCACCUAGGCGACGAUCCCUAGCUGGUCUGAGAGGAUGACCAGCCACACGGGAACUGAGACACGGUCCAGACUCCUACGGGAGGCAGCAGUGGGGAAUAUUGCACAAUGGGCGCAAGCCUGAUUCAGCCAUGCCGCGUGUGUGAAGAAGGCCUUCGGGUUGUAAAGCACUUGCGGCAGGGAGGCGGUACUCACAAAAGAAGCACCGGCUAACUCCGUGCCAGCAGCCGCGGUAAUAC